rnacentral:rRNA from 1 species
CCUACGGGAGGCAGCAGUGGGGAAUAUUGGACAAUGGGGGCAACCCUGAUCCAGCCAUGCCGCGUGAGUGAUGAAGGCCCUAGGGUUGUAAAGCUCUUUUAGCGGGGAAGAUAAUGACGGUACCCGCAGAAAAAGCCCCGGCUAACUUCGUGCCAGCAGCCGCGGUAAU